GCUGACAAGGCGGGCAGAGCCACGGGCCCGGCCAGAAGGGACGGGCGGAGAAAUCGCUGCAAGCAAGAAGUCGCGCACAAAUACAGCGUUUCAGGUCGUCUGCCGGGACAGAGGUGCUGAAGCUGGCGGAGCUUCAUUGUUAAAGCCCUCCGGUUUCUGCCCUGCAGCUGGCUGCGGGUGAAUUUUUUGUGGUUGAACAAAUCCCAGCGGGACGGUGUCAGGCUCUCCCUGGCUGUUUCCCCACAACCCAGCAGAGCAUCAAUUUAAAAUUGUCACACGUAGGACCUGUGGAACCAGCCCCUGGAGGCUGUAAAGGAAGGAAGCAGAAGCAAACCACUGAACUGUACACAUUUGGUUUCACUGAGGAAAAAAAAGAAAGCUGUAGGUUUGUCGUCACAUGUGAUUAACUCUCUCUCACAAGGGAGAAAACACAACAGUGGAUUCCAGAGUCCUCCCAAAUGAUGGAGGAUUGAGGCACAGAAAUGUGAAAAGAUCUUCACAAGGUCACCUGGUGACAGGUCACAGUUUCAAAGUUCAGCUCUAGUGUGGCAACGUUGGCAUUUUUGAUGAAGCUUAGUUUUCCAGAAAAACAAACCCUAGUGUUAAGGGACACAGUCUAAAUAAAUUUGACUGAUAACCUUCAUACAAUUACAACAUUUUUUUGUGUGUACAUUUUAAUCACAUUUAACUUUAGGCUUGUAUACGAAGUGUGUAGUUAGAGAAGUUUGAGAUACUUCACCACUUGUGUCUGUCUCAUCAUCUUCCCAAAAGCCAUAAAAGUAGAUAGAAUUUCCCCACAGUUUUGUUUUUCCAAAACCUCAAUUAAACCUGAUUAGAAUCAGAAUCUCACUUGAAAAACUCUGUUAAUGGAACUUUUUCCCACAGCAAAAUGUUGAUGGUCUGAUGGCCGUGGUCUGAUGAUGGCUGUAGUCCAGAGGUAGUAAACAUAAUGAAGAAUAUAACCUAGGAAAGGAUGGAACCCAUCACAGUGCAAGAACAUGGGGUGUAGGCCUGGUGGCAGGAGAACAAAAGGUGAUCUUCUGUCACUGGGUUAGACCUGGUACAUAGGUCAUCAGACUGCGGGUUGGUUAUGCUCUAAGUGUUAUUUCACAUGGCUGUAAUGGAAGAAAAAUAAUUAGUUGCCCAGUUGUGUAAAAUACAGAGAACUGGAUUCAUCUGGUGGAGUGUGCUGGCAGAUGCCUAAUUAAAAUUCUUGUCCACCUGUAUUUUAAUUCUGUGCUUAUUCAUCUAGAUUUUCCAUUCAAAGGGGAAAUACAUCGCACAAUAAAGAAAAAUCAUCUUGGAGUGGCAGUUUUGCAAGCUUCUUUUAGCCCAAUCUCAUGUGAGGGAAUGGUUUCUUAUUUUUGGCAAUGGGUCUACUUUCUGUUUAAUUUUUGCUUAAAGAUUAUACAGUGUAACACAGAUAACACAUUCAUAAUAAAGUGCUUUAUAAA